rnacentral:rRNA from 1 species
AUUGAACGCUGGCGGCAGGCCUAACACAUGCAAGUCGAGCGAGCGGCGGACGGGUGAGUAAUGUAUGGGGACUGCCCGAUAGAGGGGGAUAACUACUGGAAACGGUGGCUAAUACCGCAUACUAUCGGAUAACCCAUAUGGGAUUAGCUAGUAGGUGGGGUAAAGGCUCACCUAGGCGACGAUCUCUAGCUGGUCUGAGGGGAUGAUCAGCCACACGGGAACUGAGACACGGCCCAUAGUCCUACGGACGGCGCAGUGGGGAAUGUUGCGCAAUGGUGGCAAGCCUUAUGCAGCCAUGCGGCGUGUAAGAAGGAGGCGUUGGGGGUGGAAAGUACUUUCAGCGGGGAUGCGUUACCCGCAGAAGAAGCACCGGCUAACUCCGUGCCAGCAGCCGCGGUAAUAC